UUUUUCCUUCAGGUCAAGGGCAAAACCCUACUCAGAUGCUGAGAUUAAGACUGCUUUCAGAGCAAAAGCAAUGGAGUACCAC